CCAUUUUUAUAAGAAAUCUUCAGUGAUGGUAGUAGUGCUAUGAUAAUGAUACGGCAUGAACUUCACACUUUCCUGUAAGUAAACUACAUAAACAACCCCAAUCUUAGUUGGUUGGACUUGGGCAUCUACCGCAUCCCUCCGUCACCAACCUUAUCAUCCCUGUCCUAUUUGUUACAGCACUUUUGUCCACUUGUUCCUCUCCAGAUUUUUUUUUUAAUCUAUAAAUUAAACAAAAAACACAAAAAAUCCCAAAAAUUGAUAAAAGCAAGUCGAAAAUGGGCAUAGCAGGUGAUGGGCAUGAGUUAGCUAUGAUUGUUGAAUUUACCAAUACACUACCUCAGAUAUGGUGGCGAUGCUGACUUAGCAUUGGGAACCGGAAUUUUCGGAUUUUCUCUCUUUUUUUUUUUUGUGUAUAUAUGGCUAAGGCUUCUUUGAUUCCCGCUUAUUCUGCUUGUUCUACGAGACUUGGUAAUACUGGCAGAAAUGGAGCCUCCGACCAUGGACCUUUAGCUUCUUCGACGUUCGUUUCCUGUUCCUGUUUUUCUUCUUCCUCCAAUUUCAAUUUCUCUUCUGGGAUCAAUAACUGGAAACAUCAAGGCUUUAAAGCCCAAGCUAUGAGUACUACCACUCAGGAAAAUUUUGCAUCAUCCAGGGGAAUUGUGAAUGGAAGAAAUGAUCCUGACCAUCUUCUUGUUCUUGUUCACGGCAUCUUGGCUAGCCCAAGUGAUUGGACAUAUGUGGAAGCUGAGUUAAAAAGGCGUCUUGGAAGAAACUUUUUAAUAUAUGCAAGUUCAUCUAACACUUACACCAAAACCUUCACUGGGGUUGAUGGAGCUGGAAAGCGAUUAGCAGAUGAAGUUAUGCAAGUUGUGAAAAAGACAGACAGCCUUAAAAAGAUCUCCUUUUUAGCCCAUUCUCUUGGAGGAUUGUUUGCAAGAUAUGCGGUUGCUGUCCUUUACUCACCAACUCCCUCAGGAAGUGGUGAACCUGUUGAUUUGGCUGAUUCUAAGAUGGCAAACUCUCAAACAUUGUUCUUUCCUAGACGAGGUACAAUUGCAGGACUUGAGCCAGUCAACUUCAUUACCUUGGCAACUCCACAUCUUGGGGUGAGAGGGAGAAAGCAGCUUCCAUUUCUCUUUGGAGUUCCCAUUUUGGAGAAACUUGCUGCUCCUCUAGCUCCAAUUUUUGUUGGCCGGACUGGUCGUCAACUGUUUCUGACAGAUGGUAAACCCAACAAACCACCCCUGCUUUUGAGAAUGGCAUCUGAUUGUGAAGAUAUAAAUUUUUUAUCUGCCCUUGGUGCUUUCAGGGUUCGCAUUCUUUAUGCAAAUGUGUCUUAUGAUCAUAUGGUUGGUUGGCGCACAUCCUCAAUAAGGAGGGAGACCGAACUUGUGAAGGAUACUUUCCAUGGUGGGAGCAGCAAGAGUUUGCCAUGGGAGAUAAUGAAGUUUGAGCCAUGGAUAAAUUUUACAGGCCUCCUCGUCGAUCUUUGGAUGGUUACAAGCAUGUUGUGGAUGUGGAAUAUUGUCCACCAGUUCCCUCUGAUGGGCCACAUUUUACUGAAGAAGCAGUCAAGGCAAAGGAGGCAGCACAAAAGGAACCCAGUAUGCAACAUACUGUGGAAUAUCAUGAAAUUGUGGAAGAGGAGAUGAUACGUGGUUUACAACAAUUAGGAUGGAAAAAGGUCGAUGUCAGCUUUCAUUCGGCGUUCUGGCCCUUCUUUGCUCAUAACAAUAUACAUGUGAAAAAUGAAUGGCUUCACAAUGCUGGUACCGGAGUGGUUGCCCAUGUUGCAGACAGCAUAAAACAACAGGAGUCAUCCUCCUUCAUUGCCGCUAGCUUGUAGAUAUCGCAUACAUUUAAAGUACUUACAGCUAAAACGUGUAUGAUAAAUUGUAGCAGAAAUGAUGAAAUGAAAAAAAAGAAAAGAAAAUCCUAUAGUAAUCGCUGAUAGAAAGUUGUUUCAUUUUCAGCUAGCUCAGAAGAUAAUAGAAUUACAGUUUGAAAGCAUAAUAAAGCUGAGUCAAUUUUGUCUGGCUUAA